rnacentral:rRNA from 1 species
GAUGAACGCUAGCGGCAGGCUUAAUACAUGCAAGUUGAGGGGCAGCAUGAUAUACGCGAGUAUAUUGAUGGCGACCGGCGGACGGGUGAGUAAUAGGUAGGAGACCUACCUCAUACAGGGGGAUAGCAUAGAGAAAUCUGUGGUAAUACCCCAUGAGGUUAUAUGAAUAGAGGCAUAUAAUCAAAGCAUAAGCGAUUAUGCGGUAUGAGAGGGGCCUACUGACCAUUAGCUAGUUGGUGAGGUAAGGGCUCACCAAGGCGAAGAUGGUUAGGGGUUUUGAGAGAGAGACCCCCCACAUUGGAACUGAGAGACGGUCCAGACUCCUACGGGAGGCAGCAGUAGGGAAUAUUGGGCAAUGGGCGAAAGCCUGACCCAGCCAUGCCGCGUGAAGGAGACGGCCUUAUGGGUUGUAAACUUCUUACUACGCGAAUAGAGGUUAGUACGAGAUACUAAUAGGAAGGUAGUAGUAGUAAAAAGCACCGGCUAACUCCGUGACC